rnacentral:misc_RNA from 1 species
GCGGCGAUGAUAUCAAUUUCCAGCCCCUGCUGCUCCGCCUUCUUCCGCGGCGAUCCGCCGCCGGCAUUAUCCGCUCGCGGCGGUCUCUUCAUCCGUCCCCCGCCGGCACGGCGGGCGGCGGCGGCGGCGACGCUCCGCGUCUCCGCCGCGUCUAAGAUCACGUCGGCGGAGACGGAGCCGGUGAAGAGGCCAGCUAGGGGCAUCACCAAGCCGAAGCCUAUCUCGCCGGCGCUGCAGGCUCUGCUGGGGGUUAAGGAGAUCCCGCGCACUCAGGCGCUGAAGCAGAUCUGGGCCUACAUCAAGGAGAAGAACCUCCAGGACCCAGAGAACAAAAAGGUCAUAGUAUGCGAUGAGAAGCUGAAAGUCAUAUUUGGAGGGAAAGAACGGGUUGGGUUUCUUGAGAUUUCGGGGCUGCUUAAUCCUCACUUUUCAAAAUGAGAUUGGGAGAAUGUUCUGUAAAGGUUGCUUUUUGGUAGGUGGGAGGUUUAGGCUUAUCGCUAAAUAGUAGGCAAUUAAGACGGCUAUAUUUCGUCGUUG